rnacentral:lncRNA from 1 species
GAAUCUGGAGCUGGUUAGCCAAGAGCGUUUUCCAGAAUCGCACUCUUUGGCUUGCUGCAUAAUUAUUUUGAUAUCUUUCUUACGGAAAUGGGAGAGUUAUUACAUAAUGCAUACUUGGAUUUAACGGCUGAUCAAGUGUUCUUAAUACUUUUAUUUAAGAUUUAUAAUCUCAUUGCCAGACAUAAAGAACAUAACAAAAAUAUGAAUCUUCUAUUCUUGAAUAUUUUAAAAAAUUUAACAUAGAGAACAUAACCAAUCUUUUCAUA